AUACGGAGGGUGCAAGCGUUAUCCGGAAUCAUAGGGUUUAAAGGGUCCGCAGGCGGAUUAAUAAGUCAGUGGUGAAAUCCUCUCGCUCAACGAGAGAACUGCCAUUGAAACUGUUAGUCUUGAAUUCGGUCGAAGUAGGCGGAAUGUGUCAUGUAGCGGUGAAAUGCAUAGAUAUGACACAGAACACCGAUAGCGAAGGCAGCUUACUAGACCUGGAUUGACGCUCAUGGACGAAAGCGUGGGGAGCGAACAGGAUUAGAAACCCCAGUAGUCC
rnacentral:rRNA from 1 species